AUUGAACGCUGGCGGCAGGCUUAACACAUGCAAGUCGAACGAGUGGCGGACGGGUGAGUAAUGCUUGGGAAUCUGGCUUAUGGAGGGGGUUAACGACGGGAAACUGUCGCUAUUACCGCGUACCAUAGGAUGAGCCCAAGUGGGAUUAGGUAGUUGUUGGGGUAAUGGCCUCCCAAGCCGACGAUCGCUAGCUGGUCUGGGAGGAUGACCAGCCGCACCGGACAUUGUGCGGGGCCCGGACUCCUACGGGAGGCAGCAGGGGGGAAAAUUGCGCAAUGGGGGCAACCUGACGCAGCCAUGCCGCGUGAAUGAAGAAGGCCUUCGGGUUGUAAAGUUCUUACGGUGACGAGGCGUUAAGCGCAGAAGAAGCACCGGCUAACUCCGUGCCAGCCGCCGCGGUAAUAC
rnacentral:rRNA from 1 species